rnacentral:rRNA from 1 species
AUUGAACGCUGGCGGCAUGCCUUACACAUGCAAGUCGAACGGCAGCACGGGUGCUUGCACCUGGUGGCGAGUGGCGAACGGGUGAGUAAUACAUCGGAACGUACCUUAUCGUGGGGGAUAACGCAGCGAAAGCUGUGCUAAUACCGCAUACGCCCUGAGGGGGAAAGCGGGGGAUCGCAAGACCUCGCGCGAUUAGAGCGGCCGAUGCCUGAUUAGCUUGUUGGGGGGGUAAAAGCCCACCAAGGCGACGAUCAGUAGCUGGUCUGAGAGGACGAUCAGCCACACGGGGACGGGGAAACGGCCCAGACUCCUACGGGAGGCAGCAGUGGGGAAUUUUGGACAAUGGGGGCAACCCUGAUCCAGCAAUGCCGCGUGAGUGAAGAAGGCCUUCGGGUUGUAAAGCUCUUUUGUCAGGGAAGAAACACCGGCUCUAACACAGUCCGGGAAUGACGGUACCUGAAGAAUAAGCACCGGCUAACUACGUGCCAGCCGCCGCGGUAA